UUGGGGCGUCCCAACCAAGAGGUAAGCGACUGUCUUUCAGCAGCCUAACCACAGAGCCUCGUCCCCAGUGGUGCUGUUUCCACAGGUGCUUAAAGCCGUCGAGGAGGGCGCCCUUCUGGCGGGAGCGGUGCUGGUGCCGGGACCCAGUCCUGUUCACGGCGUUUCACGGUGUAUCUCGGUCCCGGGACUAGGGCUGCAGAACAAACGACCACAGACAAGUGAGUAGAAACUGCCGUUCUGGAUUCAGAUGGCGGGUGGUUUGUCCAGGGCCUCCAGGGAACACGGACGGGCGGGGGGCUGGGAACUCCUGGAGGUGUGUCCACCCAGGUCUGGUCGUCGCAGCUGGUGAGGCUGGGGGGCCUCAGCUGCUUCUGCACCUGGGUCUUCACAGGAUCUGUCUGGGCUUCUUCAGAGUGUGAAAACUCGAUUUCACCAGUAAUCCUGGAAACAGACAUUGAACCCUGGUAACAGACAAUCAGAUACCCCAAAGAGAAUCUCUUAGGCACUUAUAAAGGCAGCACGCGGCAUUUCACGCUCACGCAGCACAUCCGGAGUCCCCAGCGCAGCACCAGGAUUCGAGAGGCAACUGCCCCACGUGCUUGGAAGCGCCAGCCGUGUUCCUCCCAGAGAAAGGCCCAGAGUUAAGCUGCAGGGAGAGUCUUUCCCAGUCACUGGCUCGAGACACCCCACUAGGACCAAAGAUUGUGGGUGGCAGCUGGAGCCUGGAGGAGGAAAUGGGUUCUUCCUGCUUGUUUUAUGGUGCUUAGGGUGUUACCACAACAGCAUGGGUGCUUUCCCGAACUCAGUGAACAUAUGGGAAACCUAUACUUAGCUUAUCAUUUCAAGCCUUUCCUCCCCCACACCCAUCUCCUCCCUGCACCAGGAAUCCUCAAUAUGGUACCGACUCUGUAGGUGAAAAAAAAUUGGUUGAAUGGGGUGAAGCGUCCUCGCUCCCUGACCUGUGGCCUGCAGCGAUGCGUCCUGAACUCUGGUGGGAGUCGCAGUCGACCGCUGACCUGCCUGGAAUGGCCGUUAUAUCGGUCAUGGGAGGGGAACACAGCCACCACAUCUGAACCUGGCAGCCACCCCCACAGAGACGGCCCUGGGCAAAGACAGCCACAAGUCGUGCGAAACAAAGAGAAGGCCGUCUUUAAAAUUAGUCCUGAAUGUCAGAACGGACCCACAGAGAAUGCACUUCUCUGCCUAGAAGUGGGCGGAAUUUAAGAGCGGGUUACACAUUUUAAAAAGUCGUCAGUCUGCUCUUUUCGGUGUCAGGUUUAAGAGCCUUUAGAUCUGGUUUUUGAGUGUACAGAAGCUCACGGUUAUGUGCGUGCCUGUCCUGGUCACAGUCCGUACCCGGAGCCUCCGCCAUUGUGCUCGGGUGGGUACCAGGCAGCAUCCCCCAGAAACGUUAUCACUAAGCCAUCAGCCAUCCUUUCAGCAUCUGAAUCAUUUCCAGGAUGGCACAAGUCCAAGUCUAAUUCAUUAGAACAGAAGAAAUCUAUAAACACCUGCAUGUAAUUGAUUAGGAAGCUGGGGUUCCUUUAACUGACUGUUUACUCCUCUGCUCCCGACAACGUGCUGAAACAAAGACCCAACAGCAGCGAGUCACUGACAUCGUGCCGGGUUAUCAGAGACUUUCGUUUGGGGAACUGGGUCACUGUAUUUGGGGCGACAACCCCGGAGCCCCCAAGACCUACCCCUCCACUAACACGCCGUAUCCCUGUGUCCUUAGUUCACUGGAUUGGAAACUGUGAAGUCAUGGAUCUGUGUUUAUUUUUUUAUGUAGAAAACAAUUACGUGGAAAAAGACCGGUUUUUAAGGGCAAGUUAUCUGUGUUUCUAUAAAUGGUAACUCUACCCCACCCCACUACUCUUUAAUCUCAAAUCGAAGAGAGGGGAUGCUCCCCCCAACCACACUUUCCCCCUUCACACAAUUGCAGAUUUGGUUCUGUGUCCCUUUUUGGUGAUUUUUAACAUUUCCUCCCCAGGAAAUGAAAUUCGGGUCACUCUUGCUGGCCAUUGUUGGUGCUUGGGCAGAGAAAGGGGAGGCAAGGCAGAGGCUCAGCAAGUGAGGGUUUGUGAGGACACCCCCAGAGAAGAAAAGGAGGCACAGCCCGAGAACGGCGUUCCUGCACGUCGGCUAGGCUGGGGGCGGGGGGGUGCAUGGGACGGCUGCGCUAUUCGCUGUUCAGGGGACUUGUCGUGGGCGGGGCUCCUGCUCGGAACCCUGGGUGUGAGGACGUGGACUUGAGGGACACAAGGUAGAUUCUCACCUUCCCAAAUGACAACCAACCAUGGAGAAAGUCAGAGGGAACCAACUGAAAACUAUCAGAACUUUAUUGUGUUAAUGGAUUAUUUGUUUGUGUGUUUGUUCGUUUGUUUAUUGGAAGUUUAGCCAGGUAAAAAAUACAAGAUUUACAUACGGAAACCAAUCGCUUUUUUACACACCAGGCAAAAAUCAACCUAAAAGUGCAACUUAAAAACAUAACAUUCAAAACAGCUGCAAAAGGUAAAAACAUGCAGGAAUAAACAUAGGACAGCAGCCUGAAAAGCUACAUGAAGAAAACAUAACGUUUACUGAAGAACAGAAGGUAAGAUUUAUAUAAAUGGGGACUGCACCGUGGCAUGAAGAUGCCGAUUCCCCCAUAAAUCAACAUCUAAAUUCUGAAAAAUUCCUAUGAAGUGGCCAAUGGACUUACUCGACAAGCUUACUCUAAAUUCAUCUGUCAGGAAAAUAUCCAAAUAUGAGCAUGAACUUCCGGGUAGAGUGAUGGUGUUGAUUUACAGAAGGAAAUAUAAAUGGCCACCGAGCAAGAAAAGAUGUUCAAACGUUCAAUGUCACUAACAAUCAGAGAAAUGAACAAUUAACAAUAAGAUACCAUUUUUUGGGUCCUUAAGUAUCUAAAAGAUCAUUUGGGGCACAGUUGGAGGGGGGUGUGAUGGGUCCGGUCUCUUCCUGGGGGACUUGGGGACAUUUAUUCAGACUGUAGCUGUGCACAGGCCGGAGGCAGCACCGACAAGGGACUGUUCAGAGAUUGCCCCCGGGAGCCCCACAAACACGUGUGCAAAGCCUUUGAUCAUGCAUGUUCCUGUGGUUCACAUGGUGUGACGGCCAAAAAUUAGAAACAGUUUGAACUCUCCUUAACAAGACGAUAAGUUUUAAAAUCACGGCACAUCGUAUUAGGUGCGGCGAUACCUCAUACAGUGCGGCAGUUGAAAAAGCGAAUCAGCCCGGGCUGGUGUGCCUCAGUGGAUUGAGCAUCACCUACAGACAGAAGGGUCGCUGCUUCAAUUCUCCGUCAGGGCACCUGCCUGGGUUGCGAGCCAGGUCCCCUGUUGGGGGUGUGCAAGAGGUAAGCCACACAUUGAUGUUUCUCUCACACAUCGAUGUUUCUCUCCCUCUUUCUCCCUCCCUUCCCCUCUCUAAAAAUAACUGAAAAAAUUAAAAAGAAAACAAAAAGCAAACCAGUGUGUACGCACUGACACCAUGAGAAUUCCGAGAUGCAGUUAAAUAUCGAAAGAAUGUUAUAAAAUACCAUGUGCUGUGUAACCCGGUUUGUGUUUAAAUGUUGGUGAAGUCAUACGCAGCUCCGUGAUAGUAAACGCGCAGGAUAAAAACCGACGUCAACUUCUCGUGAGGACAGAAUGGGGACUGGAGAUGCAGCGAGACUGAGGGGAGCUCCUGCUUUUUCAGUAGCAUUUGAGAUUUCACAGUGGAAACAUAACUGCGUAUUAAUUAGGUAAUUUUUAAAACUCCCCCCAAAGUUA